GAGCCAAACCUGCAUCUUCUGGAAGAACAAUAAGUGUUCUUAACUGCUGAGCCAUCUUUAUCUCCCAAACAGUGAUAGUCUAUGACCAUUGUUUUUCCUUUGUUUUGAGGUAGGGACUCACACUGCAGUUCUGGUUGUCCUGGAAUUCAGUAGGAAUCUGACUGCCUCUGCCUCCGAAGAGCUGAGAUUAAAAGGCUUGUGUACCACAACCAUUGCUAAUUUAAGAUACUUCCCCUCACCUCUAGUCCUUGAACAUCUAGGGCUUCACUGUCUGACUCCAUUUCAGCUGAGCCAUCACUGCUCUGCUUUCCAUCUCAUUCUGAGAGCAAUUGUACUCUGUUCUGGCUACUGAAGGCUUUGCCACCUGCGUAAACGUUGAACACUUGUUGCAAGCGCAAGAAUUCAGUCCUCAAGCUUGGUGAGGUAGCCAUCAUCUAGUUCAUAGCCUAAUUUUUUUUAACUUGAUUUAUUUAAAAUAUGAAUGCUCUGCUGCAUAUACAUCCUCAGGCCAGAAGAGGGCAUCAGAUCCCAUUAUGGAUGGUUGUGAGCCACCAUGUGGUUGCUGGGAAUUAAACUCAGGACCUCUGGAAGAGUAGUUAGUGCUCUUAACCGCUGAGCCAUCUCUCCAGCCCAGUACAUUUCUUUAGAUUCUUGGAAGCAAAUCAUUGGAGCGCAGUCAGAGCUCUUGACUGCUGAGCCCCUCAUCUCCUAAUUUUUAAUGGCUCAGUUCAUACUCAGUUGUGGUGAAAGGUCUUUCAUGUAGGUAAUUUUAGCACUGACAGUCACACAGACCUUUUUUUUUUUUCUCAGUUGUCAUCAUUGCAUGCAUUAGACAAAGAGGAAUGUGAGUAUUGCUAGGAAUGCCUCGAGUCAGUCCUGGUAUCUUGAUCCUAGGAAAAUGUUAGAUGGGACCUGUGAUCAGAGUUCUGGUUUGAAGGUCAAUUGGCAUACAUGUGAAUGAAUCCUUACCUAUAAGGAAAAACUUUUUCUUAAAGAAGUUCAAAACCUUUCUGUUUAAUCUUUGUAUUUUCUAGAGAAAACAUGUAUUGCAGGCAAAAAAUAGAAUAAACUGUUCUC
rnacentral:lncRNA from 1 species